rnacentral:rRNA from 1 species
GGUGAGUCGGGUCCUAAGGCGAGGCCGACAGGCGUAGUCGAAUGGAUGAACGGGUCGAUAUUCCCGUACCGGCAUGCAACCGACAAAACCGAAUCCGCGAGUACUAACCUCCGGGUCCGGGCUUACGUCUCCUUCGGGAGCCGGAUGCCCUGGCCUGUUGGGACCGUAACGGUAGUAGGUCAGCGCGGGAGUGACGCAGAAGGGUAGCCGGCCGCGGAGGUGGUCUUCCGUGGUCAAGCACGCAGCCCGUCCCACAGGCAAAUCCGUGGGGCGCGUGGGCGAGGUGCGAUGAUGGGCGCCGCAGGGCGCGAUAUCCGGUGAUCCCGGCUGCCGAGAAAAGCUUCGGCGUGAGGCGGCGUGCCGCCCGUACCCCAAACCGACACUGGUGGUCAGGUAGAGAAUACCAAAGCGAUCGAGCGAAUCCUGGUCAAGGAACUCGGCAAAUCACUCCCGUUCCUUCGGUUUAAGGGAGACCCCCGAUGGUGAAGCGGCUUGCCCGUGGAGCUUUUGGGGGUGGCACAGACCAGGGGGUAGCGACUGUUUACCAAAAACACAGGAGCGUGCGAAGGCGCAAGCCGCUGUAUACGCUCUGACGCCUGCCCGGUGCCGGAAGGUUAAGAGGAUCCGUCAGGCUUCGGCCGAAGCGGUGAAUUCAAGCCCCGGUAAACGGCGGUGGUAACUAUAACCAUCCUAAGGUAGCGAAAUUCCUUGUCGGGUAAGUUCCGACCUGCACGAAUGGCGUAACGACUUCCCCACUGUCUCGACCAGGAGCUCGGCGAAAUUGCAGUACGAGUAAAGAUGCUCGUUAAGCGCAGAAGGACGAAAAGACCCCGGGACCUUUACUAUACCUUGGUAUUGGCAUUCGGUGUGGAUUGUGUAGCAUAGGCGGAAGGCUUCGAAGCCACGGCGCCAGCCGCGGUGGAGCCGCAAGGUGAAAUACCGCUCUGUUCGCAUUGGAUGUCUAACCUCGACCAGUCAUCCUGGUCAGGGACAGUGCCUGGCGGGUAGUUUAACUGGGGCGGUUGCCUCCCAAAGAGUAACGGAGGCGCUCAAAGGUUCCCUCAGCCCGGUUGGCAAUCGGGUGGCGAGUGUAAGUGCACAAGGGAGCUUGACUGCGAGACUGACGGGUCGAGCAGGGACGAAAGUCGGAACUAGUGAUCCGGUGCCGGUGUACGGACGCGGCAUCGCUCAACGGAUAAAAGGUACCCCGGGGAUAACAGGCUGAUACCGCCCAAGAGUUCAUAUCGACGGCGGUGUUUGGC